UAUAUAAUCAUACGGAAGAAAUUUUAUAUAUAAUCACACUAACUGUCACUUUUAUAAUGUGUGUAUGAGAGGGGACGAUAGAAGGUUUAAAGCAGGUCAUUGCCCGUGGUACGAGGUAAUGCAACAAGAAAUAAUGGGAAAAAGAUAAGAAUGUUUUUUAUUACUAUUAAUCACUUUAUUCACUUACUAAACUUUUAUAUUUUUUGAAUACCUUAUAUAUUCCUGUAACAAGUCAAGAAAUUUGGAACUUACAUGCAUUAGACCAUUGGAACAUGUAUAUAGUUAUAAGUGCAAAAGAGGAAUUAUUUGCAAGCGCGGUCAUCGUCUGUUGAAGAAACAAGAGCUGACUCAACUGGUGGUUUAAAAACCCGCUGUCUGCUCCAACACCAGAUAGCGCUCUAGGCAAGGCCUGGGCACCUCUGGCAACGAUGGAGCAACCCAGAUAGCACUCCAGGCCACCGGAAGCGCCUGCGCAGUUCCUCUGGCAACGUGGGACAGCUGCUGGAAUUCAAGUUCAUACACUGUGAUUGUGUUAUUGAAUGUUUGAUAACCUGAAGUAAUGCAUCCCCUUAAACUGAUGAUGUGACAGGAAGGUGAGAUCUUUUACUCCACUCUAGCCAAUUGGGGGUGGAGAUGUUUGGUCUUACUCUUCCUCCAGAGUGUGCCCUUAUGAUGAAGGUCUAUUGAUAAAGUUGGAUGGUCCAGGUUGGCCAUGUUUGAAAGGUAAUGCAGAGAGAGAUCUAUUCAUGAGGACACACCCUGGGUAAGAACGGUUUGAAGGUGGGACUAGAAAAAGUCCCAAAGGGGGGAUGUGUUGGGGAAUUUCAUUUGUCUCAUAUAUGUCUCAUAAAUGGCUCUGAAUAUAAGAUGCUGUAAUGCUAGAGAAAACCAGGCCUAAGGAUAUGAAAUGAACAGAAAACUAGGCCUGAGGGGAGGUUGAAUAAGGACAGGAGAAGAAACUGGGUGAAAGGACAUGAAAAAGGCAGGUUGGUUAAGGACAGGAGAAGAAACUGGGUGAAAGGGCAUGGAAAAGUACCUGAAAAUCAUGUAUGAAGCCAUUUUUAAAAAGGUACGCAUGCGCAAAGAAAGAUACGCAUGCGCAAAGAAGGUUGCCCCAAUUAAAAAUGAAAUAACGAUGCAGGUGUUUCUAAUCGUGGCGACAGGCCAAGGAGGAGCAAGAAGAAAAAAGAUAACUGUAUGAGCGCUAAUUGGACAACUAACGAUAAGAGAAAGGUAUAAGAUCUGAGUAUUGACCAUUGUAAGAUUCAGAUGACUAGCUACCAUCUCACUUUGUUGAACUGCUCAAUAAAGUUAUUCUUCUGAGACCUGAAA